UUCUCACUGUUUUUUACUUGGCUAACACUUUUCCAAAUGUCAUUUUCUUAUUCGUUAUUCCGUAGAUCUCCCUUACCCAUUAGAUAGCUUGUCCGGAUGCCUUUUGUACUUUGCAUUACUUCGCAACGCCAAGAAAAUUUGAACACGGUUCUUGAAUCACUAUUUUCUCUCUCAGCAUUUCUGACAAAGAAGCAGAAGUAUAGAUAUAGAUAGAAGCAGAUACAAACACAGAGAAGAAUAACAAUGGGAGGUAAAAGUUGGAGUUUGAAAGCAAAGCUAUGUGAUUCCUGCAAAUCAUCGCCGGCGAGUGUUUUUUGCCAUGCCGACACGGCAUUUUU
rnacentral:lncRNA from 1 species